AUGGGAGCUUGCUCCCUGAUGUUAGCGGCGGACGGGUGAGUAACACGUGGGUAACCUGCCUGUAAGACUGGGAUAACUCCGGGAAACCGGGGCUAAUACCGGAUGCUUGUUUGAACCGCAUGGUUCWAACAUAAAAGGUGGCUUCGGCUACCACUUACAGAUGGACCCGCGGCGCAUUAGCUAGUUGGUGAGGUAAUGGCUCACCAAGGCAACGAUGCGUAGCCGACCUGAGAGGGUGAUCGGCCACACUGGGACUGAGACACGGCCCAGACUCCUACGGGAGGCAGCAGUAGGGAAUCUUCCRCAAUGGACRAAAGUCUGACGGAGCAACGCCGCGUGAGUGAUGAAGGUUUUCGGAUCGUAAAGCUCUGUUGUUAGGGAAGAACAAGUACCGUUCGAAUAGGGCGGUACCUUGACGGUACCUAACCAGAAAGCC
rnacentral:rRNA from 1 species